AAUUAAUGAGCUUGAAUAAGCAUAUGUUUUGAAAACAUAAGAUAAAAGUAUAUUCUUUUAUUAAUUU
rnacentral:tRNA from 1 species